AGAUAAUUGCUUGAACCCAGGAGGCGGAGGUUGCAGUGAGCCAAGAUCGCACCAUUGCACUCAAACCUGGGCAACAAGA
rnacentral:snRNA from 1 species